UUGCUACUCCCUCCGUUCGAAAAUACUUGUCGAAGAAAUGAAUGUAUCUAGAAUUAAAAUACGUCUAGAUACAUCCAUUUCUUCGACGAGUAUUUUCGAAUGGAGGGAGUAUAUG
rnacentral:pre_miRNA from 1 species